UUGGUUAAGUUAGAAAGGGCGCACGGUGGAUGCCUUGGCACUAGGAGCCGAAGAAGGACGGGACUAACACCGAUAUGCUUUGGGGAGCUGUACGUAAGCGUUGAUCCAGAGAUUUCCGAAUGGGGGAACCCACUAUCUUUAGUCGGAUAGUAUCCUUACGUGAAUACAUAGCGUGAGGAAGGCAGACCCAGGGAACUGAAACAUCUAAGUACCUGGAGGAAGAGAAAGAAAAAUCGAUUUCCUGAGUAGCGGCGAGCGAAACGGAAAGAGCCCAAACCAAGAAGCUUGCUUCUUGGGGUUGUAGGACACUCUAUACGGAGUUACAAAAGAAAGUUAUAAAUGAAGCGGUCUGGAAAGGCCCGCCAAAGACGGUAACAGCCCGGUAGUUGAAAUGGCUUUCCCUCCAGAGUGGAUCCUGAGUACGGCGGAACACGUGAAAUUCCGUCGGAAUCCGGGAGGACCAUCUCCCAAGGCUAAAUACUCCCUAGUGACCGAUAGUGAACCAGUACCGUGAGGGAAAGGUGAAAAGCACCCCGGAAGGGGAGUGAAACAGUUCCUGAAACCGUGUGCCUACAAGUAGUUAGAGCCCGUUAAUGGGUGAUAGCGUGCCUUUUGUAGAAUGAACCGGCGAGUUACGAUUUGUUGCAAGGUUAAGCGGAAAAAGCGGAGCCGUAGCGAAAGCGAGUCUGAAUAGGGCGCAUAAGUAACAGGUCGUAGACCCGAAACCAGGUGAUCUACCCAUGUCCAGGAUGAAGGUAAGGUAAUACUUACUGGAGGUCCGAACCCACGCACGUUGAAAAGUGCGGGGAUGAGGUGUGGGUAGCGGAGAAAUUCCAAUCGAACUUGGAGAUAGCUGGUUCUCUCCGAAAUAGCUUUAGGGCUAGCCUCGAGGUAAAGAGUCAUGGAGGUAGAGCACUGUUUGGACUAGGGGCCCUUCUCGGGUUACCGAAUUCAGAUAAACUCCGAAUGCCAUGUACUUAUACUCGGGAGUCAGACUGCGAGUGAUAAGAUCCGUAGUCGAAAGGGAAACAGCCCAGACCACCAGUUAAGGUCCCCAAAUAUAUGUUAAGUGGAAAAGGAUGUGGGGUUGCUUAGACAACCAGGAUGUUGGCUUAGAAGCAGCCACCAUUGAAAGAGUGCGUAAUAGCUCACUGGUCGAGUGACCCCGCGCCGAAAAUGUACCGGGGCUAAACAUAUUACCGAAACUGUGGAUGAACCUCUUUAGAGGUUCGUGGUAGGAGAGCGUUCUAAGGGCGGUGAAGUCAGACCGGAAGGACUGGUGGAGCGCUUAGAAGUGAGAAUGCCGGUAUGAGUAGCGAAAGAAGGGUGAGAAUCCCUUCCACCGAAUAUCUAAGGUUUCCUGAGGAAGGCUCGUCCGCUCAGGGUUAGUCGGGACCUAAGCCGAGGCCGAUAGGCGUAGGCGAUGGACAACAGGUAGAGAUUCCUGUACCAGUGCUAAUUGUUUAACCGAUGGGGUGACACAGAAGGAUAGGGAAUCGCACGAAUGGAAAUGUGCGUCCAAGCAGUGAGUGUGAGAAGUAGGCAAAUCCGCUUCUCGCGAAGCAUGAGCUGUGAUGGGGAAGGAAAUUAAGUACGGAAGUUCCUGAUUUCACGCUGUCAAGAAAAGCCUCUAGGAAGAGUAGUACUGCCCGUACCGCAAACCGACACAGGUAGAUGAGGAGAGAAUCCUAAGGUGAGCGAGAGAACUCUCGUUAAGGAACUCGGCAAAAUGACCCCGUAACUUCGGGAGAAGGGGUGCUCUAUUAGGGUGCAAGCCCGAGAGAGCCGCAGUGAAUAGGCCCAGGCGACUGUUUAGCAAAAACACAGGU
rnacentral:rRNA from 1 species